AUUGAACGCUGGCGGCAGGCCUAACACAUGCAAGUCGAACGAGUGGCGGACGGGUGAGUAAUGUCUGGGAAACUGCCUGAUAGAGGGGUAACACUACUAGAAACUGUAGCUAAUACCGCAUACCAUCGGAUGUGCCCAGGUGGGAUUAGCUAGGUGGUGGGGUAAAGGCUCACCAAGGCGACGAUCCCUAGCUGGUCUGAGAGGAUGACCAGCCACACUGGAACUGAGACACGGCCCAGACUCCUACGGGAGGCAGCAGUGGGGAAUAUUGCACAAUGGGCGCAAGCCUGAUACAGCCAUGCCGCGUGUAUGAAGAAGGCCUUCGGGUUGUAAAGUACUUUCAGCGGGGAGGCGUUACCCGCAGAAGAAGCACCGGCUAACUCCGUGCCAGCAGCCGCGGUAAUUC
rnacentral:rRNA from 1 species